CCUUGCCUUCCGCCAUGAUUGUGAGGCCUCCCCAGCCAUGUGGAACUGCCCUGAGGAUAUCCAGACCCUGGAGGACCAAUGACAGGCAGACAGGCCCAAGAUGGGGAACCCAGAAGCACCCUGAGAUGUCCUAGACCCUGAGAUGUCCUGCCUGAGACCUCCAGGAUUAACUGAACACCAGCAGCUAGUGCUCCUAAGCCCAGCCAUAAGUGACAGUCUAUGAGGACAAACCAGGGACAAACCUGGUCCCCACUUCUUUUCAACUGGAGCCUCCAGCAGACUCUUGCUGGAGUCUGCCUCAAAGCUGCUGCAUCCCCUGGAAACACCUGAAAGGAUGCUCCUGGCUGCAAAGCGCCCUGAGCCUACGACCAGAGGAAGUGCUCCAUCAGUAUCCUGUGUGCCUGCUUAAUGCCUGAUUACCUGCCCGGCUUGUCCUUGUGCAGACGCAAUGGAUGCCAGAAUACCCUAUGGCUGGAGAGAGGCGGGGAGACCCUGGGGUGCUUGUGCCCACGAGCACUACCCCAGCCUGGCAGCACCAGGGAUGGCAGAGGAAGGAAAGCCCCAGGAAUGCCUGUGGGGUGUGACGGCAGCCUCUGAGUGAAGAGCUGUGCUCAACCCCAGCUAAGCCCUCAGGACCCAGGAUAAGGGGCCUUCUUCUACAUAGGUGAGUGGGCUCAUCAGCAUCCCACAUAGAGGGAGGCAGACAAGCCCUGCAAAUCUUCCUCUAAACUUCAUGCAUCUCCUCAGAAGUCCCUAUAAUAAUGACAAGUAAGUUUAUUGAGCACUAAUGAGCUGGGUGCUUGGCUAAGGGGUUUAUGUCAGCAUCUCAUUUAAUUCUCCAAAGAACCUUGUAUGCUAAGUAUUAUGGGGAGCCUGUCCAGUGGGUCAGAAACUAUGACCAACAAUAAAACUUUGAAGACAAUAACAACAAUAAUAACAUUAACAAAGGAAAUGAUGUUUCCUGGAAAUCUAAGGAAGGGAAAUUAAUGUCUGAUGAAGGGAUGAUUAAAGU